rnacentral:rRNA from 1 species
UACGUAGGUGGCAAGCGUUAUCCGGAUUUAUUGGGCGUAAAGAGCGCGCAGGUGGUUAAUUAAGUCUGAUGUGAAAGCCCACGGCUUAACCGUGGAGGGUCAUUGGAAACUGGUUGACUUGAGUGCAGAAGAGGGAAGUGGAAUUCCAUGUGUAGCGGUGAAAUGCGUAGAGAUAUGGAGGAACACCAGUGGCGAAGGCGGCUUCCUGGUCUGCAACUGACACUGAGGCGCGAAAGCGUGAGGAGCAAACAGG